rnacentral:rRNA from 1 species
AUGUGCAGCUACAAAUGCCUUGGCUCAAAAAAUGAUGAAGGAUGCAGUGAGAUGUGAUAUGCAUGGUGAUUUGCAAAACUCCGUGAAGCAAUUGGUUUCUGAAUGUUCACACUGCUUCCAAAUAUUAUUGCAAGCUAGUCCCUAUCAUUGUUUGCUGGUGUGCAUCUCAAGGUGCUGUAAAACCAUCAAUGCUUGAUGGUGUUGAUGUAGUGAUUGUGUGCACAACCAUUCAAGUACCACUGCUGGUUCUACAUUGCUGCUUGGGCAACCAAAUGAUUGCACUGCCUCCCUUCAGCCAUAAAGCUUGUAAUGGACAUGAUGUGGGGUUAAUGGACCUGCUGAAUUUAAGCAUAUAAGUAAGCGGAGGAAAACAAACUGAAAAGGAUUCCUUUAGUAAUGGCGAAUGAACAAGGACAAGCUCAUGCUGACAAUUUGGACCUCGGUCCCAAAUUGCAAUGUGGAGUUGCCAUGGCAAUGAAAGUGAUCCUGUGUGCCUCUUGGGGGGGAGCAGCAAUGAAGGUGAAAUUCCUGCAUGUCAUGUUCAAUCUUUCCUGUAUGGCUGGCAUCUAAGAGUCGCGUUUCUUGGAAGCAAAGCGCAAAACUGGUGGUAGAAUUCAUCCAAAGCUGAAUAUGUGUUUGGGCCCGAUAGUAAACAAGUACCAUGAGGGAAAUGUGAAAAGGACUUUGAAAAUAAAGUUAAAAGUACUUGACAUUGCUGCAAUUAAAGCAAAUGGUUCUUAGCAUGUUAGCAAGAUUGACGUGUACAGACACGUGCUGGCUGGUGCUUUGAGCAUCCUUGGCGCGUGCUGUGUAUACUUCGUGUCUUGCUGCCUUGCUGCAACCAGGUUGCAUUGUCAACAUGGCGUGCAUGCUACCUUGGUCAUUGAUUGAUUACCUGCUGCAAUGCAUUGACAUUCAACCUGCUGCUGUUGCCAGUUGGCAUACCUUCCCCUUAUGGUUGCGCGUGGGUGUGCAUGGUGAUUGCUUGAGUUGCCUGCUUCAUUUGACCCGUCUGGAAACACGGACCAAGGAGUCUGAUGCAUGUGCAAGCUUGUGUGUGUAUGUCCUUGGGCGCAAUGGAAAUGACAGUUGGGAAAUGUGCACCAACAGCCAACUGACCAAUUGAGGGAGGUUUGAGUUCGAGUACAUGCAUUAGGACCCGAAAGAUGGUGAACUAUGCCUGAGAAGAACGAAUUCAGGGGAAACUUUGAUGGAGGUUCGCAGCGCUACUGACGUGCAAAUCGUUCGUCAUACUUGGGUAUAGGGGCGAAAGAUUAAUCGAACCAUCUAGUAGCUGGUUCCCUCUGAAGUGUCCCUCAGGAUAGCUGGAAUUGCAUACUUUUCAUCAGGUAAAGCGAAUGAUUGGAGGAAUUGGGGGCGUGCUGUCCUUGACUUAUUCUCAAACUUUAAAUGGGUAAGGUUCAAUAGUUGUUAUGUAAACCUUUGGGGCAAUGUGAAUUUUAUGUGGGCCACUUUUGGCCAUCAGAAUUGGCGUUGAGGGGUGAACCUAACGUUAGGAUAAAGUGCUGCAGUGCUCGCUCAUCAGACACCAAAAAAGGUGUUGGUUCAUUUAAACAGCAGGACGGUGGUCAUGGAAGUCGAAAUCCGCUAAGGAAUGUGUAACAACUCACCUGCCGAAUGGACUAGCCCUGAAAAUGGAUGGCGCUCAAGCGUGUGACUGAUACCUAGCUGCUGUCUUGAAAAUGCUGAGAUGGUGAGUAGGGGGGUGCAAUAGUUUGUGAGGAAGCUUGGGUGUGAACCUGGGUGGAAUAACUAUUGCUGCAGAUCUUGGUGGUAGUAGCAAAUAUUCAAAUGAGAGCUUUGAAGACUGAAGUGGGGAAUGGUUCCAUGUGAACAUUGCUUGGACAUGGGUUAGUCGAUCCUAAAUUGUAGGACAAGUCUGUGCACACAUGCUUUGCUUCAUGCUUUGAAAGGCAAUGGGGCUAACAUUCCCCAGCUGGGAUGUGGAUAAGUGAUGGUGACAUAACCAACUGUGGCCUUGCAGGGGGGGGUCCUGGAAAGCGUUUUCUUUUCUUUUUAACCAUGUAGCACCCUGAAAUACAGAUUGCCUGGAGCAAGGGUCUUGUGUGGGUAGAGCACUUUGUCUUUCGAGGUGUCUGGUGUGCCUUCAACUGUCCUUGACAAGCCAGAUGCGCUUCUUUAUUUGCACACCUAUUCGUACCCAUAACCGCAUCAGGUCUCCAAGGUUAACAGCCUCUGGUUUGUAGAACAAAGUAGGUAAGGGAAGUCGGCAAAACAGAUCCGUAACUUUGGGAAAAAGAUUGGCUCUGAGGGUUGGGUGCAGGGGUCCUUGUACUGAUGUUUGAGCUGAGCAAAAGCUACUUGACACCUCUGGUAAAAAGUGGAUUUGUGCAUGGCAAUGAUUGGUGAACAAGGAAUGCUCUAUGAACUGUCCUUGCGCAAGGAACAACCAAGUCAGAACUGGAGCGGACAAGGGGAAUCCGACUGUUUAAUUAAAACAAAGCAUUGUGAUGGCGUGAAAAAGUGGUGACGCAAUGUGAUUUCUGCCCAGUGCUCUGAAUGUUAAAGUGAUGAAAUUCAAACAAGCGCGGGUAAACGGCGGGAGUAACUAUGACUCUCUUAAGGUAGCCAAAUGCCUCGUCAUCUAAUUAGUGACGCGCAUGAAUGGAUUAACGAGAUUCCCACUGUCCCUAUCUACUAUCUAGCGAAACCACAGCCAAGGGAACGGGCUUGGGGUAAUCAGCGGGGAAAGAAGACCCUGUUGAGCUUGACUCUAGUCUGACUUUGUGAAGUGACUUAGGAGGUGUAGCAUAAGUGGGAGUUUUGGCGAUCUUGAAAUACCACUACUCUUAAUGUUGCUUUACUUAUUC